rnacentral:rRNA from 1 species
AGAGUUUGAUCAUGGCUCAGAUUGAACGCUGGCGGCAGGCCUAACACAUGCAAGUCGAGCGGUAGCACAGAGAGCUUGCUCUCGGGUGACGAGCGGCGGACGGGUGAGUAAUGUCUGGGAACUGCCUGAUGGAGGGGGAUAACUACUGGAAACGGUAGCUAAUACCGCAUAACGUCGCAAGACCAAAGUGGGGGACCUUCGGGCCUCAUGCCAUCAGAUGUGCCCAGAUGGGAUUAGCUAGUAGGUGGGGUAACGGCUCACCUAGGCGACGAUCCCUAGCUGGUCUGAGAGGAUGACCAGCCACACUGGAACUGAGACACGGUCCAGACUCCUACGGGAGGCAGCAGUGGGGAAUAUUGCACAAUGGGCGCAAGCCUGAUGCAGCCAUGCCGCGUGUGUGAAGAAGGCCUUCGGGUUGUAAAGCACUUUCAGCGGGGAGGAAGGCGGUGAGGUUAAUAACCUCACCGAUUGACGUUACCCGCAGAAGAAGCACCGGCUAACUCCGUGCCAGCAGCCGCGGUAAUACGGAGGGUGCAAGCGUUAAUCGGAAUUACUGGGCGUAAAGCGCACGCAGGCGGUCUGUCAAGUCGGAUGUGAAAUCCCCGGGCUCAACCUGGGAACUGCAUUCGAAACUGGCAGGCUAGAGUCUGUAGAGGGGGUAGAAUUCCAGGUGUAGCGGUGAAAUGCGUAGAGACCUGGAGGAAUACCGGUGGCGAAGGCGGUCCCCUGGACAAAGACUGACGCUCAGGUGCGAAAGCGUGGGGAGCAAACAGGAUUAGAUACCCUGGUAGUCCACGCUGUAAACGAUGUCGAUUUGGAGGUUGUGCCCUUGAGGCGUGGCUUCCGGAGCUAACGCGUUAAAUCGACCGCCUGGGGAGUACGGCCGCAAGGUUAAAACUCAAAUGAAUUGACGGGGGCCCGCACAAGCGGUGGAGCAUGUGGUUUAAUUCGAUGCAACGCGAAGAACCUUACCUGGUCUUGACAUCCACAGAACUUUCCAGAGAUGGAUUGGUGCCUUCGGGAACUGUGAGACAGGUGCUGCAUGGCUGUCGUCAGCUCGUGUUGUGAAAUGUUGGGUUAAGUCCCGCAACGAGCGCAACCCUUAUCCUUUGUUGCCAGCGGUCCGGCCGUGAACUCAAAGGAGACUGCCAGUGAUAAACUGGAGGAAGGUGGGGAUGACGUCAAGUCAUCAUGGCCCUUACGACCAGGGCUACACACGUGCUACAAUGGCAUAUACAAAGAGAGGCGACCUCGCGAGAGCAAGCGGACCUCAUAAAGUAUGUCGUAGUCCGGAUUGGAGUCUGCAACUCGACUCCAUGAAGUCGGAAUCGCUAGUAAUCGUAGAUCAGAAUGCUACGGUGAAUACGUUCCCGGGCCUUGUACACACCGCCCGUCACACCAUGGGAGUGGGUUGCAAAAGAAGUAGGUAGCUUAACCUUCGGGAGGGCGCUUACCACUUUGUGAUUCAUGACUGGGGUGAAGUCGUAACAAGGUAACCGUAGGGGAACCUGCGGCUGGAUCACCUCCUU